rnacentral:rRNA from 1 species
UGGGGAAUAUUGCACAAUGGGCGCAAGCCUGAUGCAGCCAUGCCGCGUGUGUGAAGAAGGCCUUCGGGUUGUAAAGCACUUUCAGCGAGGAGGAAGGUGGUGGACUUAAUACGUUCAUCAAUUGACGUUACUCGCAGAAGAAGCACCGGCUAACUCCGUGCCAGCAGCCGCGGUAAUACGGAGGGUGCAAGCGUUAAUCGGAAUUACUGGGCGUAAAGCGCACGCAGGCGGUUUGUUAAGUCAGAUGUGAAAUCCCCGGGCUCAACCUGGGAACUGCAUUUGAAACUGGCAAGCUAGAGUCUCGUAGAGGGGGGUAGAAUUCCAGGUGUAGCGGUGAAAUGCGUAGAGAUCUGGAGGAAUACCGGUGGCGAAGGCGGCCCCCUGGACGAAGACUGACGCUCAGGUGCGAAAGCGUGGGGAGCAAACAGAUUAGAUACCCUGGUAGUCCAGCGCUGUAAAACGAUGUCGAUUUGGAGGUUGUGCCCCUUGAGGCGUGGCUUCCGGAGCUAACGUGUUAAAUCGACCG